rnacentral:rRNA from 1 species
GGUUGCGAUUAUACCAUCACUAAUGCACCGGAUCCCAUCAGAACUCCGUAGUUAAGCGUGCUUGGGCGAGAGUAGUACUAGGAUGGGUGACCCCCUGGGAAGUCCUCGUGUUGCAACCC